GACGAACGCUGGCGGCGUGCUUAACACAUGCAAGUCGAACGGUAAGGCCCUUCGGGGUACACGAGUGGCGAACGGGUGAGUAACACGUGGGUGAUCUGCCCUGCACUUCGGGAUAACUACUCGAAAGAGUAGCUAAUACCGGAUAUGAAGUCUGUAGGCAUCUAUGGAUUUGGAAAGUUUUUCGGUUAGGGAUGGGCCCGCGGCCUAUCAGCUUGUUGGUGAGGUAGUGGCUCACCAAGGGGACGACGGGUAGCCGGCCUGAAAGGGCGACCGGCCACACUGGGACUGAGACACGGCCCAGACUCCUACGGGAGGCAGCAGUGGGGAAUAUUGCGCAAUGGGCGAAAGCCUGACGCAGCAACGCCGCGUGCGGGAUGAAGGCCUUCGGGUUGUAAACCGCUUUCAGCAGGGAAGAAGCGAAAGUGACGGUACCUGCAGAAGAAGCACCGGCUAACUACGUGCCAGCAGCCGCCGUAA
rnacentral:rRNA from 1 species